UCAGAGAAGGUUGAGGACAUUGGAAAGGAAGGGGUGGGCGGGGUUUGUGUUUAGAGAGAAGGUUGGUGGGGACAGUGGAAAGGUUUAUGUUCAGAGAAGGUCGUGAGCGUUGCAGGCCAGCUUCAUUGGCAGGAGCUGGUGUUGACAGGUCAGUCUCGUUCCCUUUUGAACACGUUUAGUUGGGAAGGAAUCCGUCUCUCACGCUGUGAAUUGAAUCCUUUGACACGCUCCCGGGUUCCGAGAACACGGAAGCCGGGGAACCUGGGAACUGCUCGCUGAUUUCCCCUGCUGCCUUUAAGCGAUGAUCAGUUUGUGUCUAUGGUGAGAGAGGCGGGACUUCCUGCCCGAGCUGUGGUACGUUAUGAUAUGCAUGUGUUAGAGCCAAGUGCCUUCCUUCUGCACCUCCCUUUGCCUGUCUUCCUGUAUUACUGACCUGAAUUUGCCUAUGGAUAGUGUACGUAGAGCGCCUGUGCAUAUUUACCCUGUUCCUGUGUGUUGUUACUGUACGAAUUGUUUACCGUUUCACAUUUUGCCUGUCCCCAAGUACUCUUCAUGGUUGGCAGAAGUGAAGACUACUGAAGAAAAGCCAAUUCCACGAAUAUCACUGUUGUAUAACAUUGCAACACAAAUUCCUGCGAUGUCAUUGUAACUGACUGGUCUGAGGGUGAGAAUAUGCAACUAUGAAAAGUGUGCACUAGGGGGCAGAGUGGAUGGCAUGUUGAUUCCUGAUGUAGUGCUUCUGUGUAAAUGUGGCUUGCUUGCCUUGGAUUGGCUGUUCCUAUUGUAAUGCUGGUCAGGCUGAUUUAUGUGCUGUUCCACUCUAUUUAGGAACACGACUGUUUCUUGUAUUUAAUGUAGUUCUGCCACACCUGAGUUCUUGAAUGAUUUGUAAGAAAUGUUACUUGUAUACCUAUAAAACACUCCUUUUCACUUCUCAAA